rnacentral:misc_RNA from 1 species
AGAGAGAGAGAGAGAGAGUAGUUUAGGGUUUUACUUUUAACACAGUGGGUUUUGUGCCCUUUGCUCCCGAGAUAAGGAGAAAAAAUUAGCGACUGGCCUUUUUGACAAUGGUUAGUCAUCAGCCAGUCUAGAAUUUUGCCAUUCUGCCCACUCCAAACGCUAAAACCACGUCGUUUUUCUUGCUGGCUCCGAUGCCGUAGAAACGGCGCUGUAUUAUCCCAUGUGGAAUUAUUUUCGCCUCUCCAGCCCCUUAAAU